CAGGACGUGUUCGAGAGCCGAGGUGAGGCCUGUGGCGGCGAAACGACAGCCAGAGCGUUGAAGGCGUUUCACGAAGUGAGCGGUGAAGUCCUCGCUCUAAAGGAAGUGAUGUGGGAUGAGUUGGCAGAACAGAAGGAACAGGAGGAGGAGGUGAACAACUUCAUUAAAGCCUGCAGA